AGAAUGAUUUUAAGGAAAAUAAGAUGAAUUUUCUGGUGUUAUUCUCUCUCUCAUCCGACCCUCUUUCUCUCUUCCAAAACCUCUUGAUUUUUCAAAAUUUGUUUGGAGAAUUGCUUGAAGUUGGUGUGGAAUCAAAGCUUUGCAAUUGUGGAAUUUUGAGCUUGCUUUUGGAUUGAGUUUAAGGAUUACCGGCACCUGAUCAGGAGCACCCGGGGAUUUGGAAUCUCCUUCUAUAGCUGGACAACAGGAAAGGGUAAGGCAUUAGCUGAUCUGCCAUGAGUUUUCAGGAGCAGGACGAAGAAUGUACAUGUUCACGCCACUUCAGACCAAGCGGGUUAUGGGUCUAACAGUGUUGACUUUUGUAUUCUGUUUUGCCGCUUAGGCCGGCUAGUAAGAAAGAACUUGUAAUAAUUUUGUAAAUAUUUUUGGGAUCCCAACUAUGUUUGAAAAGUUUAAAUAUAUUACAAGUUUAUUUUCA